rnacentral:rRNA from 1 species
GACGAACGCUGGCGGCGUGCUUAACACGUGCGAGUCGAACGGAAAGGCCCUGCUUGCAGGGUACUCGAGUGGCGAACGGGUGAGUAACACGUGGGUGAUCUGCCCUGCACUUCGGGAUAAGCCUGGGAAACUGGGUCUAAUACCGGAUAGGAGCCAUUUUUAGUGUGAUGGUUGGAAAGUUUUUUCGGUGUAGGAUGAGCUCGCGGCCUAUCAGCUUGUUGGUGGGGUAAUGGCCUACCAAGGCGGCGACGGGUAGCCGGCCUGAGAGGGUGGACGGCCACAUUGGGACUGAGAUACGGCCCAGACUCCUACGGGAGGCAGCAGUGGGGAAUAUUGCACAAUGGGCGCAAGCCUGAUGCAGCGACGCCGCGUGGGGGAUGACGGCCUUCGGGUUGUAAACUCCUUUCGCUAGGGACGAAGCUUUUUGUGACGGUACCUAGAUAAGAAGCACCGGCUAACUACGUG